UCCUCAGUAGCUCAACGGUAGAGCCCUCGGCUGUUAACCGAGUAGUUGCUGGUUCGAAUCCAGCCUGGGGAGCCA
rnacentral:tRNA from 1 species